GCGUGUUGGAGUGUGUUUGUGGUUGUUGUGUUACCUUGGCACUGCUGUCCGAGUGACGUCUGGCACAAGCUUGGAGCUGACUGAUCCAGAACUGCUGCUCCUUGGCGUCGGAGGCUGCGAAGGAAAGCAGAACGAAAUGGCCGGAUUGGAGCCUCUGGAGGACCACUUUUGGCCCACGGGCCUCAUGUUUGACCCCCCUGCCCCAGACAUCCGUGAUGAGGACGACCUGCUGGGUGUCAACGAUCUCAUUUACUAUCAUAAAAUGAGCGACUCGCUGCUCAUCUCCCUGAAUAUCUGAUGCUGUUGCUUCCUGUCCUGAGGGCUGCCGUCUCAUCUGGAUCUCCUCAUUUUCUCCUCUGUGCUAAAUUAAACAUUCAGUAUUCAGCAAACAGCGGCCGAUUCAUUUGGACGCUCUGAGCAGCGCAGGAAGCAGCUCGAUCCUCUGCACGCUCAUGGCUUUCCUCCUGUCGGCUGCUCUGAUAUCUGAACAAACAGACUUGCUGACUAACAGCUGCAGCAGAAGUCGCUGACUGUCGACACCCUGCAGGUCACACCGGAAGACGAUAUCCUUCUGAUCCCAUUUCACUGACUAAUUAUUAGAGAACAAGGUCUUGGAUUUGACUGAUAACGUUCAGAAAAGUUUCAGCUGGAGGUCGAAUCGGUUGUUUCACGUCAUUUCUUUUUUAAUACUUUCUGCUACUUAAGGAACCAAAACCGUCACAUUAUUAAGUACAAACAUCUUUUAAUCCACAAGAUGCUCUGAAAACUCACCACAAACAAUCCUAUCAGUCAGAAACAAAAGGGGAAGGUGUGCAGCAGCCAAUCAGCACACCUGAGCACAAAGGUGCACUUGAUGUAUCCAUCAUGACAACUAAAGCCUCGAUUCAAACACAUGAAAGUCAAACUGCAUGAGUUUAAGCAGAAAAAUGCAUUUAAGGUUAUUCAAGUGGAAGCUACUGAUUUAGUCCAUCUUUCCUUUUUGGUCAUUUUAGUCCAUUUUGUUUGCAUUUUAGGUCUUUUUGUGGUAAUUUUGCACAUUUUUGUGGCCAUUUUCAGUCUGUCUCUGUGGUCAUUUUGCAUUGUUUUGUAAUUAUUUUGUAAUUGUGUCUUUUUGUGGUUGUUUUGCAAGCCUUUGUGCUCAUUUUGUAGCUUUUUUGGUCAUUUUCAGACUGUUUUGUGGGGCAUUUUAGGUCUUUUUGUGUUCAUUUUCAGUUUUUUUGUGGUCAUUUUGCGCCCCUUUCUGGCCGUUUUCAAUCUGUUAGUGAUCAUUUUAGGUGUUUUUGUGGUCAUUUUCCACAUUUUUGUGGCCAUUUUCAUUCUGUUUAUGAUUAUUUUAGGUGUUUUUGUGGUCAUUUUGCAUUUUUUGUAGUUAUUCUGUGUCUCUCUGGUCAUUCUGUGUCUUUAUACGAUAAUUAUCUGUCUUACGGAGUCAUUUUGUGCUUUUCUGUGGUCAUUGUGUGUCAUUUUUUGAGUUUUUGUGGUCGUCUUGUGUCUUUUUUGUUUGUUUUGCGUGUCUUUGUGCUCAUUUUGUAUCUUUUUUGUCAUUUUCAGACUGUUUUGUGGGCAUUUUAGGUCUCUUUGUGGUCAUUUUCAGUUUUUUGUGGUCAUUUUGCGCCCCUUUGAACUAAUCAUAUAGAGUUUAUAUAAAGCGACACGAAAUAAAUCAGAGGGUUUGAAACAUGACAAACAGGAGAGGAAAUUAGAAAUAAAGAAUCUUUGAUACACAGA